GGAAAGAGCAAAUUGUUGCAAUUCUUUCAUUUUAUGAAUAUCUCAAUGAGCUUACUCAUAUGUAUGGAUUAUAUGCAAGGUUCGGAGGCAACAACGAGUACCUCAGCUCCACGUAGGGAGUGACUUUAUUGGUUUUCUUUUUGUUGGAGACCGAGUUUUGCAGGUAUAGGUCGGUGUCCACUACAGGUCGCGUUUUGCAUUUUGUGACUCGCUCGAGAAGUGCGUAGUUGAGGCCUGUGGGAGUCUUCGUCUCCUGGCCCGUAGAUGAUUUUUGCUUAGUUUAGUUCUGGAUAAUAGUUGGUUAUGUAAAGUUUAUUUAUUGUCAGACUUCCGCUGUAGUUUGUAAAAUGACAAUCAUUUUUGAGAUGUAAAUAAAAUGUGGCUGUUAAACU